UAAAUAAAAUAAAAUAAUAAUAAAAAAUAAAUUAAAAUUAAUAUUUUAAAAGGGCAAUUUCAUCACUAGCCCUCUUAAACAUGUAAAUAUCGCAAAUACUCCUAUAAAAUUAAAAAUAUCAUAUAUACCCCUUCAAAGGUAGAAAAAUAUCACAAUUGUCCUUUAUUCUAACUGACGUUAGGGUAAAGUUAUAAAAUGACUAAUUUACCCCUUAAAAGUUGUUUGGGUUAUUCUUUUGAUAACAAAUAAUAGAGGAGUAAUUUCAUGAAUACCCUUCUAAUUUCUAACACUAAUUAUUGGUGGAUAAAAUAAGUGGAAACCCCUCACCUAUAGGUCAUUUUGAAAUAUACCCCCUUAACUUCAAUUUUUUAACAUUUAGAGAGCCCUUUAACUUUUAGUUUUUUUUUGUUUUUGCGUUUUACUUAGUUAAAAGUUUUUCAAUUGAGAUCACUCAUACAUGAAUUUGAUAAAAUUUUUAACUUAGUUGGAAAAAAAAAACACUCAAUUGCAAAAGUAAAAAAUCACUACAGCUGAGAGGAUGUAUAUAUAUAGAGAGAGAGAGAGUCAGGCUACUAUACUCUUAUGAGUGUGAUCGUCUUCUGACUCAUAAGUCGUUUUCAAUAAUAAAGCUUCCGAAUCGACGAUCCAUAACGUUAAAUAUUAUCUAGAAUAUUUAAAAACUUCAAGAAAUCAAAUUUUAUAAUUUUUUUAUAUCAUUACGAUCAAAAGAUCUCAAAAUUGACAAUUUUUAAUGGUCAGUAUGGGAUACUUGCUAGUUUAAUGGUGAAAAAAAAUCGGAAUCAAUUGAAUUUUUGAUAGAAAAUUUUAUUUACUAUCUAGAUAAAGAUCAAUAUAGAGAUUUCGACAGCUCAUUUUAUGCCCACUUGAUGGACAUUAUUAUGAUUUUAAAAAAUCACAAAAUUUAUUUUUUAAAAAUUGCAAACACUCUAGAUCACAUUUAACAUAGUAGAUCGUCGAUUCGGAAGCUCCAUUAUCAAAAAAACUUAUGAGUACAUAGGGCUCUAUACUUAUAAAAGUAUUGUAGCCCUACUUUUAUAUAUAUAUAUAUAUAUAUAUAUAUAUAAUUUAAAGUUAAGAUCAUGCUGAAGUGGACUAAUAGGUGAGAGGGUCUUCAUACAAUGUUACUUUUUUUGUUGACAAUAAAUGUUUAAUUAGAAAACUGUUGCUUGAGCAGGUCAUAUGAAAAAUACUCUAAUAUCAAGAAUUUUGAUAUCAAAAUAUUUUUAAUUUGACUUAUGUGAGUUAUUUAAAUAAAAUUCAAAAAAAAAAU
rnacentral:lncRNA from 1 species